GAUGAACGCUGGCGGUAUGCUUUACACAUGCAAGUCGUACGAGAGUUUUUAACUCAAGUGGCGGACGGGUGAGUAACACGUAAGAAUUUGCCUUUAGGAGGGGGACAACAACUGGAAACGGUUGCUAAUACCCCAUAUGCUUUCGAGUGAAAUGGUUUUUCCGCCUAAAGAGAAGCUUGCGGCUGAUUAGCUUGUUGGUAAGGUAAUGGCUUACCAAGGCGACGAUCAGUAUCUGGUUUGAGAGGACGAUCAGACACACUGGAACUGAGACACGGUCCAGACUCCUACGGGAGGCAGCAGUGGGGAAUUUCCGCAAUGGCGAAAGCCUGACGGAGCAAUACCGCGUGAGGGAUGACUGCCUAUGGGUUGUAAACCUCUUUUUUCAGGGUAGGAAAAAAUUGACGUUACCUGAAGAAUAAGCAUCGGCUAACUCCGUGCCAGCCGCCGCGGUAA
rnacentral:rRNA from 1 species